rnacentral:rRNA from 1 species
UUGUUGGUAAGGUAAAAGCUUACCAAGGCUUCGAUCAGUAGCUGGUCUGAGAGGACGACCAGCCACACUGGGACUGAGACACGGCCCAGACUCCUACGGGAGGCAGCAGUGGGGAAUUUUGGACAAUGGGGGCAACCCUGAUCCAGCCAUGCCGCGUGAGUGAAGAAGGCCUUCGGGUUGUAAAGCUCUUUCAGCCGGAACGAAACGGUUACGGAUAACACCCGUGACUACUGACGGUACCGGAAGAAGAAGCACCGGCUAACUACGUGCCAGCAGCCGCGGUAAUACGUAGGGUGCGAGCGUUAAUCGGAAUUACUGGGCGUAAAGCGUGCGCAGGUGGUUUUGUAAGUCAGAUGUGAAAGCCCCGGGCUCAACCUGGGAACUGCGUUUGAAACUACAAGACUAGAGCGUGGCAGAGGGGGGUGGAAUUCCGCGUGUAGCAGUGAAAUGCGUAGAGAUGUGGAGGAACACCGAUGGCGAAGGCAGCCCCCUGGGUCAACACUGACGCUCAGGCACGAAAGCAUGGGGAGCAAACAGGAUUAGAUACCCUGGUAGUCCAUGCCCUAAACGAUGUCAACUAGUUGUCGGGCCUUUACGGGCUUGGUAACGUAGCUAACGCGUGAAGUUGACCGCCUGGGGAGUACGAUCGCAAGAUUAAAACUCAAAUGAAUUGACGGGGACCCGCACAAGCGGUGGAUUAUGUGGAUUAAUUCGAUGCAACGCGAAAAACCUUACCUACCCUUGACAUGUAUCGAAGCCCGCAGAAAAGCGGGGGUGCCCGAAAGGGAACGAUAACACAGGUGCUGCAUGGCUGUCGUCAGCUCGUGUCGUGAGAUGUUGGGUUAAGUCCCGCAACGAGCGCAACCCUUGUCAUUAAUUGCCAUCAUUUAGUUGGGCACUUUAAUGAGACUGCCGG